CCUCCAACACAGUAAUGACAGUUUUAUCAGUUUAACCACGUUUGCCAUCUCCAGGACUGGGCUGCUCUCCAGUCCUGUCUGCUGUGUGCUCAGCUCGGCUCCGCUAAAACCAGAUACUAACAAGAGCCCCUUGUAUAUCCAUUAUGCAGAUCUAGUGUAGCUCCCACUGACGGGGUACGUGCGCUGCCGUGCUUGUGUUCUGAAACCGGUCCAGGUUUAACAUAUGGAACCUGCCUGCCAGCACCUACCUCACUGACACCUUGUCUCUUCCAACUCUAACCUGACUGUUAUGUGUUUUGGGGCCCUGGAAGACGCUGUGUAGAAAGCCAGUCAGCAGAGGUCACAGCCAGCGUGCGCCACAGCCUCUCUGGCAGCCAGAACUCGCUGCGCUGAGGAAACUGCACCCUGCAACACAAACAACCCAUCAGCCACAGCAGCGCUUCAGCACCAACUGCUAAUCCUGGUACCUCCCUGCGAGGGCUGUGCUACUAACAUGGCUUAAAAACAAUUGGAUUUGUCAUCAAAUUCCAUCUUGAUGACAUGGACUUGGACUGAAGGGGCCUGAACUAGGUCUAAGGAGUCCAAUACACGACUGUCUUCAGCAAGAGAACGAUUGACAUUUGGACAAAGACGUGCACCUGGAGAAAGUGUUGACAUCCACAUGCUACAUCUGAUACACAAAUCACGUGCAGGUGAAGAGCUUAACCAGGUUCAGGGGCUCGGACUACUCAUGUGACAACUUACUAUUAAAUUCAAUGGGGGGAACAGCCAAGCUGGAUGUACCGCUGCAGGGAACUGAAUGCAAACUGAGUUGUGGGGCUGUGGCUCAGGAGGUAAAGCGGGUCGUCCACUAGGAAAAGCGCCAUAUAAAUACAGUCCAUUCACAAAUCCCACAAGUGUUUGGUUUUCAGUUUGAAUUAUAUUUGAAGCUGGAUCAACUUAACAAUUCACACUGUUUCCUUUUUAUUGAAUUGUUCCUUUUGUAGUCCUUCCAUGUUGGCACAGGCUCUGUGAAGCUGAGAGCUGAAACUGUCAGAUGCUGUAAGGCUUUUGUCACGGUAACAAUGACACAUUACAAACUGGGCAUUUUAAUUCAAGCUCAGACCCGGAAGCUGCGAUCUAUAGAUCAAAAGUGAAAAGCACCAGGUCCCGGUCUCGUCUUCGGAGAUAUGAUAGCACAUAAUGACACAUACACAGAUCCCCCUCCUGUAGGUGCAGGGUCAGUGUUACCUUAUUCAACAGUUCUUUGUACAGCGGUGUGUUCUGAACAAACCAGACUGAACUCUCUGCCACGUAAGCCUUUAGAAAUUACGAUCCAAGCCUCAGGCCUCAGUGUUCUCAGAACAUGUCCCUAUCUCUUCAAGCAGAUCACAGUACAACACCUAGCACCAUGACUCAGAAAUCCUCUGUCAUGAUGAACUCGAACAUAACGCCACAGUGCUUAACAAGGACUUCUCUAUGUGCCGCGCAAUGUCUGAAUACACGCUGAGAGGCCUGAGACUAGAUGUAGGUGGAGUGAUACCGUCUCUCACGGUGUUGGUAAACACUUAUUGUGCUACUUGAAACUGUCUGCACUCACAGAUUCUCUUCUUCUUGCACGACACCAAGAUAAACUGUUAUGGACACUCUGCAAAGAGAUUCAGAUCCUGAUAGAGGAUGGAGCUGAAUGAACAUUUUCCCAGGGUGCUAUGGGGUGUGAGACGUUGAGGGUAAAUGUGUUUUGUCUUGUGGCUGACGGUGGUCGGUUUGUUUAAGGAAGGCAGGAGAAGCAAUUUAGUUUUGUUUUUUCUCAACUAGGAUUGAUAUUUUAUCUCAGCUUUCCCUUUCAGAAUAAAAAAUGAACCCAAAGGAGUAUAAUGCCCAUAGGCUCAUAAAUAGAUCUGCAAGUUUACAUGGUUGAAUGAUUAAUCGUUUGCUAUUUUAAAUACCUUUUCCCAAAUGUCCUACAACCCAUAGGGUUAUUAAAAUAUACUUGUUUGGUAUUUGACUAAUCCAAAAAUAAAGUAUUCAAAGUAUGCCCCACCCAUAAUAUACUUUAACAUCAAUAUGAAUCGUUCUGCUCAGUUUACUGAUACCUUGGCUGUAAUCUAAAAUGUGUUUGUUCAGCAUCUCUCCAGUAAUAGUGACCAGAAUAUGCAGUGUUAUCAACAUUGUCCUAAAUAAAAAAAAUGCCUCAUUCUUAUAUAGUUGGUGAAUAUGUGAAAAUCACUAUGCAGUUAAGAUAUUAUGGUUGAGGUUGCAGAACAAUCUGUUAAACUAUUUGUGCUUUGCUUCUUUCAAAUACACUGACAAAAGAUAAUUAAUAUCCAUUAAAACAAAUGGGGGAAAAAACAGAUGAAAUAAGUUUUGUUUUCUAAUUAAAAUGAUAAGUAUAAUUCGUUAAUUUUAAUAAUGUUAUAGUAUUCUAAGAUAUCUGGGUGACUGUGUGCCUUUUAACAAGCAUCUAAGU